rnacentral:pre_miRNA from 1 species
UGUAAACAUCCUUGACUGGAAGCUGUGUGGUGACUUGAGGGCUUUCAGUCAGAUGUUUGCAGC